GGCGCGUUUUAAGCAUGCAAGUCGAACGGUAGGGAAGUGCUUGCACUUCCUGAGAGUGGCGGACGGGGGAGUAACACGUAGAUGAUCUACCUUUUAGUUGGGGAUAGCCCAUGGAAACAUGGAGUAAUACCGUAAGCUCCUAGAAACAAAAGUUUUCUGGAGGAAAGGUGCUUAGGCAUCGUCCGAAGAUGAGUCUGCGGUUCAUUAGCUAGUUGGUGGGGUAAAGGCCUACCAAGGCAACGAUGAAUAGCCGGCCUGAGAGGGUGGACGGCCACACUGGAACUGAGACACGGUCCAGACCCCUACGGGAGGCAGCAGCUAAGAAUCUUCCGCAAUGGGCGAAAGCCUGACGGAGCGACGCCGCGUGAACGAUGAAGGCGGAAACGUUGUAAAGUUCUUUUCUUGGGGAAGAAUAAGGCGGCAAUAAUAUUGCCUUGUAUUGACGGUACCCAUGAAGGAAGCACCGGCUAACUCCGUGCCAGCAGCCGCGGUAAUACGGGGGGUGCAAGCGUUAUUCGGAAUUAUUGGGCGUAAAGGGAGCGCAGGCGGUCCUGCAGGUCAGAUGUGAAAGCCCGGGGCUUAACCCCGGAAGUGCAUUUGAAACCGCAUGACUUGAGUAUGGGAGAGGGUAGUGGAAUUCCUGGUGUAGAGGUGAAAUUCGUAGAUAUCAGGAGGAACACCGGUGGCGAAGGCGACUACCUGGACCAAUACUGACGCUGAGGCUCGAAGGCGUGGGGACCAAACAGGAUUAGAUUACCCUGGUAGUCCACGCAGUAAACGUUGUUCACUAGGUGUCACGUGUAUUGACCCCUGUGGUGCCGUAGCUAACGCAUUAAGUGUACCGCCUGGGGAGUACGAUCGCAAGAUUAAAACUCAAAGGAAUUGACGGGGGCCCGCACAAGCGGUGGAGCAUGUGGUUUAAUUCGACGCAACGCGAAGAACCUUACCUGGAUUUGACAUCCUGGGAAUCUUUUCGAAAGAUUUGAGUGCCCUUCGGGGAACCCAGUGACAGGUGCUGCAUGGCUGUCGUCAGCUCGUGUCGUGAGAUGUUCGGUUAAGUCCGGCAACGAGCGCAACCCCUAUCUUCAGUUGCCAUCAUUUAGUUGGGAACUCUGAAGAUACUGCCCCGGUUAACGGGGAGGAAGGUGGGGAUGACGUCAAGUCCUCAUGGCCCUUAUGUCCAGGGCUACACACGUGCUACAAUGGUAUGUACAGAGGGUCGCAAGCUCGCGAGAGUUAGCUAAUCCCUUAAAGCAUAUCUCAGUUCGGAUUGGAGUCUGCAACUCGACUCCAUGAAGUUGGAAUCGCUAGUAAUCGUGGAUCAGCAUGCCGCGGUGAAUACUUCCCGGGCCUUGUACACACCGCCCGUCACACCACGAGAGUUGAUUGUACCAGAAGUCGUUGGGCUAAC
rnacentral:rRNA from 1 species